rnacentral:ncRNA from 2 species
UUCUUAUCAAGAGUGGUGGAGGGACUGGCCCGAUGAAGCCCGGCAACCGGUUUGACACGGUGCCAAUUCCAGCAGGGUGUAUCGCUCUGGCAGAUAAGAA